rnacentral:rRNA from 1 species
GACGAACGCUGGCGGUGUGCUUAACACAUGCAAGUCGAACGGUAAGGCCCUUUCGGGGGUACACGAGUGGCGAACGGGUGAGUAACACGUGAGUAACCUGCCCUCAUCUCUGGGAUAACAGUCGGAAACGGUUGCUAAUACUGGAUAUGAGCUUGCAAGGCAUCUUGUGGGUUGGAAAGAUUUUUUUUGGUUGGGGAUGGACUCGCGGCCUACCAGCUUGUUGGUGAGGUAGUGGCUCACCAAGGCUUCGACGGGUAGCCGGCCUGAGAGGGCGACCGGCCACAUUGGGACUGAGAUACGGCCCAAACUCCUACGGGAGGCAGCAGUGGGGAAUAUUGCACAAUGGACGGAAGUCUGAUGCAGCAACGCCGCGUGCGGGAUGACGGCCUUCGGGUUGUAAACCGCUUUCAAUUGUGACGAAGCUUUUUUGUGACGGUAGCAGUAGAAGAAGCACCGGCUAACUACGUG